rnacentral:rRNA from 1 species
UACGUAGGGGGCAAGCGUUGUCCGGAAUCAUUGGGCGUAAAGAGCGUGUAGGCGGCCCGGUAAGUCCGCUGUGAAAGUCCAGGGCUCAACCCUGGGAUGCCGGUGGAUACUGUCGGGCUCGAGUCCGGAAGAGGAGUGUGGAAUUCCUGGUGUAGCGGUGAAAUGCGCAGAUAUCGGGAGGAACACCAAUGGCGAAGGCAGCUUGCUGGGACGGUACUGACGCUGAGACGCGAAAGCGUGGGGAGCAAACAGG